CCCAGGGAAACUUGGGCUAAUACCGCAUAAUAUCUUCGGAUCAAAGAUUUAUCGCCUAGAGAUCGGCCCGCGUUGGAUUAGCUAGUUGGUGAGGUAACGGCUCACCAAGGCAACGAUCCAUAGCUGGUCUGAGAGGAUGAUCAGCCACACUGGAACUGAGACACGGUCCAGACUCCUACGGGAGGCAGCAGUGAGGAAUAUUGGACAAUGGGGGCAACCCUGAUCCAGCCAUGCCGCGUGAGUGAUGAAGGCCUUCGGGUUGUAAAACUCUUUUAGAUGUGACGAUGAUGACAGUAACAUCAGAAAAAG
rnacentral:rRNA from 1 species